rnacentral:sRNA from 1 species
CUUGGUCAUUUAGAGGAAGUAAAAGUCGUAACAAGGUUUCCGUAGGUGAACCUGCGGAGGGAUCAUUACAAGUGACCCCGGUCUAACCACCGGGAUGUUCAUAACCCUUUGUUGUCCGACUCUGUUGCCUCCGGGGCGACCCUGCCUUCGGGCGGGGGCUCCGGGUGGACACUUCAAACUCUUGCGUAACUUUGCAGUCUGAGUAAACUUAAUUAAUAAAUUAAAACUUUUAACAACGGAUCUCUUGGUUCUGGCAUCGAUGAAGAACGCAGCGAAAUGCGAUAAGUAAUGUGAAUUGCAGAAUUCAGUGAAUCAUCGAAUCUUUGAACGCACAUUGCGCCCCCUGGUAUUCCGGGGGGCAUGCCUGUUCGAGCGUCAUUUCACCACUCAAGCCUCGCUUGGUAUUGGGCAACGCGGUCCGCCGCGUGCCUCAAAUCGACCGGCUGGGUCUUCUGUCCCCUAAGCGUUGUGGAAACUAUUCGCUAAAGGGUGUUCGGGAGGCUACGCCGUAAAACAACCCCAUUUCUAAGGUUGACCUCGGAUCAGGUAGGGAUACCCGCUGAACUUAAGCAUAUCAAUAAGCGGAGGAAAAGAAACCAACAGGGAUUGCUCUAGUAACGGCGAGUGAAGCAGCAAUAGCUCAAAUUUGAAAUCUGGCUUUCGGGCCCGAGUUGUAAUUUGUAGAGGAUGAUUUUGAUGCGGUGCCUUCCGAGUUCCCUGGAACGGGACGCCAUAGAGGGUGAGAGCCCCGUCUGGUUGGAUGCCAAAUCUCUGUAAAUCUCCUUCGACGAGUCGAGUUGUUUGGGAAU